GGAAUUGACGGGACCGCACAAGCGGUGAUGAUGUGGUUUAAUUCGAUGCAACGACGAAAAACCUUACCACCUUUGACAUGGCAGGAAUCCUAAAGAGAUUUGGGAGUGCUCGAAAGAGAACCUGCACACAGGUGCUGCAUGGCUGUCGUCAGCUCGUGUCGUGAGAUGUUGGGUUAAGUCCCGCAACGAGCGCAACCCUUGCCAUUAGUUGCUACGAAAGGGCACUCUAAUGGGGACUGCCGGUGACAAGCCGGAGGAAGGUGGGGAUGACGUCAAGUCCUCAUGGCCCUUAUAGGUGGGGCUACACACGUCAUACAAUGGCUGGUACAAAGGGUUGCCAACCCGCGAGGGGGAGCUAAUCCCACAAAGCCAGUCGUAGUCCGGAUCGUAGUCUGCAACUCGACUACGUGAAGUCGGAAUCGCUAGUAAUCGUGGAUCAGAAUGUCACGGUGAAUACGUUCCCGGGUCUU
rnacentral:rRNA from 1 species